UUGCGUGCACUGGUUCAUCAUUCACCUUUUCUCACCAAUACUUGCAUUAAACAUGCUGUGACAUUAUAAACAUGCUUGACAAUACUGAGAAGGUAGAGGCAUAAGCUUUACCACAUUUUUGUGCUCAGUUUUUGACCCUGACCUUUGACCUGCCCAUGGAAGGAGACAGCUGUCGUGUGGAUUCAGUGAGGUAUCUCAGUAUCACAGCUCUGUUUCCUGUGUGUGUUCCAGCCUGAAAGGAUAGACCCCAGUGCUUCCAGACAAGGCUACGAUGUGCGCUCUGAUGUGUGGAGCUUGGGAAUCACCCUGUAUGAGCUGGCCACGGGACGGUUCCCGUAUCCCAAGUGGAAUAGUGUUUUUGAUCAGCUGACGCAAGUGGUGAAAGGGGAGCCUCCGCAGCUGAGCAACUCUGAGGAGAGGCAGUUCUCCCCCAAGUUCAUCAACUUUGUUAACCUAUGCCUUACAAAGGAUGAAUCAAAAAGGCCAAAGUACAAGGAGCUUCUG